GGGACAAUUAGUAAGAAAAUAGUUGUAAUCUGUAGGCAAGACCUGAGGAAUAUCACUGUAAAGGAUUGAGAGAAGUUGAACAUGAACAAAAUGAAGAUUGUUUAAAUGUUCACAUUUUGACACCUGAAAAACCUUGUCACAACAUUCCAUUCUUUAUAGAUGUGAUUAUCUAUGCAAUGCUACUAUGACAUAGUGGUGACUAUAAGAUACUGAGAAUGUAGAUAGUUGAAUGUGUUUCUUCUUCCAUUCCCAUUUGUGGGAGAGAAGGUUGGCCUUACAUCUCUUCUUGUUCUAUUGUCAGAACGCUGCCUGGAUAUCCUGUCAGAAUUUGGGUAUCAGAUUCUAUUCUACUCAUAGUUACCUAAGAAGAUAUCAUAGAUCUGCUUGGUGGUAUUUACCAUGGAAGGCAGGAAAAGCUUCCAGAUCUGAAAUUCAUCGAUACUCCUCAGGCUGCCCUUGACAAAAACUCUCACUCCGACUACAAGGCUUAUUUGUACUCCAACUAAAAAACAACGGGGCAAGUAAAAGUAAAAAUACUACUUAAACUGGAUUUAAGAAGUGGUUACCUACAACCCAAACCUAUCUUUUGGUUGAUCAAUCUAUCUCUCCCCUCAGUCACAUUCAAUUUUACAGAGAGAGAGAGAGAGAGAGAGAGAGAGAGAGAACUGUCUUAUAUUAGGGUUUUAAAUCAUAUAUGUAUUUUUAGAUUUUAUUUAUUCAUGAAAGAUGCACAGAGAGAGGCAGAGACACAGACAGAGGGAGAAGCAGGCUUCUCGCAAGGAGCCCAAUGCGGGACUCAGUCCCCAGACCCGGGAUUAUGACCUGAGCGAAAGGCAGAUGCUCAAUAGCUGAGCCACCCAGGCAUCCCUUAAACUAUAUUUUAUCACAAGUUUGCCAUGGGCUUGUUUCAGUUUCAGUAAACUGAGUACACAUAAACUUUAUUUAUGGGUUCAUUAAAAAUAUUAUAUUAAAUAGGGCAUAUUAGUCAGGAAUUUGCAUUUAGCUGCGUGUAACACAACCUUCUCCCACCCAUCACAUACACAUGCACAAAGUUAGUGAUUUAGUAAAAUGAGACUAUAUUAUGUUUUCCUUGGAAUAAUAGCUUUGAAGUUAUGAAGUUGUAGUUUGUGAUCCUAUGGCUCAAAUACUUUUCAACAAAAGAAUUCUCUUGGCUUUUAUUUCUUAAUUACAAGAGGUUGGUACAGUUUCAG
rnacentral:lncRNA from 12 species